GGCAAGAUGGCCGAGCGGUUAAGGCGUUGCACUCAAGUUUCGACUUCUAUUCUCAGAAUGGUGUAUUGCAAUGGAGCAAUCCGCGGGGGUUCGAAUCCCCCUCUUGUCA